AUUGAACGCUGGCGGCAGGCCUAACACAUGAAAGUCGAGCGAGCGGCGGACGGGUGAGUAAUGUCUGGGAAACUGCCUGAUGGAGGGGGAUAACUACUGGAAACGGUGGCUAAUACCGCAUACCAUCAGAUGUGCCCAGAUGGGAUUAGCUAGUAGGUGGGGUAACGGCUCACCUAGGCGACGAUCCCUAGCUGGUCUGAGAGGAUGACCAGCAACACUGGAACUGAGACACGGUCCAGACUCCUACGGGAGGCAGCAGUGGGGAAUAUUGCACAAUGGGCGCAAGCCUGAUGCAGCCAUGCCGCGUGUGUGAAGAAGGCCUUCGGGUUGUAAAGUACUUUCAGCGGGGAGGCGUUACCUAUAGAAGAAGCACCGUCUAACCCCGUGUCAGCAGCCGCGGUAAUUC
rnacentral:rRNA from 1 species